ACAGAGGCUGCCGGAUUCACCACAAGAGCACCAUCCGGUGCUUGCAUAAACCGCGGUGGAGCAGAAACAAAUCCAUCAAGAAAUCCGAACAAAUCGUAACCAUUGACAAUAAAGCGAACCUGUUGUUUCCAUUGAACAAAUGUUCCUUCAUCUAACUUCACGGCCUCAUGACGAAGGAAGGAAUUGACAACUCGGUCAGCAGCAAAC
rnacentral:lncRNA from 1 species